GCCUGGGUGGCUCAGUCAGUUGAGCAUCUGACUUCAGCUCAGGUCAUGAUCUCACAGUUUGUGGGUUUGAGCCCUGCAUCAGGCU
rnacentral:tRNA from 1 species